AUUCCUUUAGUAGACAAGGAUGUGUCAGAUUAUAAGAUGAUUAAUUAUUGAGAGAUGAUUGGGGUAAUCAUUUUACCUUUACAAAAUCAAUUACAAAAAUUGCUCUCUUUAAUUCAUCCAGUAUUUUGUUUUUGUAAUUUUUUAUGGUUCUAUCAGCAAGAACUUUAUUUAAAAAAUUAAAGCUACCUGGCUGGUAUCAUAAAAGCAGUAAUUUUUGACAAAGGAAGAGAAUGUAAAGCUACAAUGAAGAGCAGUUUAUAUUCAAGUUUUCUUCAGAAGACUCACAAGAAAUUGAAAGAGAAAAGGAAGGUAUACAUUUGCCAGAAAAUUAGAAUGAGAGAGAUGGGGAAGGAAAAGGAAAUAUGGUCUUACAAAAACUGUGUCCCCAUGGCAAUGUGGCAGCAAAAACGAACCCCAAGACCUCCAGACAUUGUGUCAUUCUUGCAUCAGUGAUCAUAUCCAAUGGGAAAUGGUUUGCCAAUUGGCUGGCCAGAGAUACCUGGUCAAAUUCUGAAAGGAGCAGAAUUAAGGCAUGUAAUUAAUAGUUUUAAAAGAUGGAAAAUAUACAAAUGCUAAAAGAAAAGAGAAAUUCUUCUGUUAGGAGAAGAGCAAAGAAUGUGUUUUAUAAAACAACAUAGAGAAUUAUUGUUGAGAGAUUCUUCAUCUAGUUCUUUCUGUUUGUUAUAUAAUAAUGUAUACUGCCUUAAGAACAGAAAAUCAGAAUAGACAUGGAAUUUACUUAGUGUAAAUUCAGACUCCCUAGUUAGACCACAACGAGCUGGUCUUCUUUGAAGUCUACUCUAUUAGGAAUGACUAUUCUUCUCACUUAAUAGAUGUAAAUGGUAGACAUAAGACAGCACUAUAUGUGACUAUUGGGAUAGAACAUGUUCUUUUGGAUAUCUUCCUGGCUGUAGCUAUAAUUUGUCAGAUGGAAGGAGCUCAGCAUAUAAGAAACAGGAACGUUUAUGACCUAGAUUUAGUAAGUUUGAGUUAGGAAAUGCCGUUAUGCAAAUACCAUUUAGGGCUUUCGGUAAUCUGUGAGACUGUGAUUAUUCAUUUCAAAAACAGAAAGAAGUCAGAAAAUCUGAGUUACUAGUGUUAUAACUCAAAUAAGACAGACAUAGGCACUGCUUUUGCAGAGCUUAAAUUAUGGGGGUGGAUUUAAACAAGCAGAGAAGCUGAUCCAAUAGUGAAAUAAGAGCUACCAUGAGAGAAAUGUCAGGUAUCAUAGGAGAUAGUGUUAACCUGAAUAUACAAUGAGUUAUUCAAGAUGAAAGAAUAGAUAACAUUUGGAAAGGGGUGAGGACAAUGUGUGAG
rnacentral:lncRNA from 1 species